rnacentral:rRNA from 1 species
CAGCAGCCGCGGUAAUACGUAGGGUGCGAGCGUUAAUCGGAAUUACUGGGCGUAAAGCGUGCGCAGGCGGUUGUGUAAGACAGAUGUGAAAUCCCCGGGCUUAACCUGGGAACUGCGCUUGUGACUGCACAGCUAGAGUAUGGCAGAGGGGGGUGGAAUUCCACGUGUAGCAGUGAAAUGCGUAGAGAUGUGGAGGAACACCGAUGGCGAAGGCAGCCCCCUGGGCCAAUACUGACGCUCAUGCACGAAAGCGUGGGGAGCAAACAGGAUUAGAUACCCGCGUAGUCCCUGUCUCUUAUAC